rnacentral:tmRNA from 1 species
GGGGGUGACCGGUUUCGACUUCGACAUUGCGAGACAGUGGGAAGCGGGCCGAGGACGGCGGACAUAACCUCGUUAAUACUGUGACCGCAAACCAAUAAGUGCCAACUCUACGCGCACUCAGGUUCUGACCCAGGACACCCUGGGUCUCGCUGCCUAAACAGCGAAGUAACCUUGUCAGCCCGGAAGUGCCUCCGGUCCGGUGCUGGCAUCGCUAGGAGGCUCAACCGCACGACCCGGUCGCGGGGCCGUGCGGGAAAUCUGACAGCGACUGAGCCCAUCGGCGACUUGCCUGCGAGCUUGCCGGGGCUGAGAAAUCAGUAGCAGGCUGCGCCCGGAGAAUCCCUGACUCGGUGCCGAAGGACGCGGGUUCGAUUCCCGCCACCUCCACGG